rnacentral:rRNA from 1 species
UUUUAAUUGAAGGUUUGUAUGAAGGGUUGGACAAAGGAUAAGCUGUCUUUUUUCUUGUCUUUGAAUUUGUCUUUUAAGUGAAAAGACUUAAAUAAAUUUAAGGGACGAUAAGACCCUAUAAAUCUUUAUAUUAAAAUGCCUUAAUCUUAAUUUUUAAUGUCUACAAAGAUAAAGGCGUGAAAUAUUGUGUUGGGGUGACGAGAAUAAUUAAUAAACUGUUCUAAAUAAAAACAAAGUUGUUUGAAAAAAUAGUAGAUCCUUUUUAGAGAUUAGAAGUUUAAGUUACUUUAGGGAUAACAGCGUUAUUUUUCUUGAGAGUUCUAAUCGAAAGAAAAGUUUGCGACCUCGAUGUUGAAUUAAAAUUUCUCUAUGGUGCAGCCGUUAUGGAAGAAAGUCUGUUCGACUUUUAAAAUUUUACGUGAUCU